ACCAAAACAGUCCUUUUGAAAUAAUUUAAGGUCUAAUCUGCUCAAUGAGUAGUUAAAUAGCCGCAGUAUUUUAACUGUGCGAAGGUAGCGUGGUAAUUAGCUUUUUAAUUGGAAGCUUGUAUGAAUGAUUUGACAAGAAAAUUUCUGUCUCUUUUUAAUUAUUAUAAAUUUAACUUUUAAGUAAAAAGGCUUAAAUUAUUGUAAAAGACGAGAAGACCCCAUAGAGUUUAAUUUUUUAUUUUAUUUUGGUAUAAUUUAUUUUUGAAAAAAAAAAUUAGUUGGGGUAACUUAAAGAUAAAACAAAUUCUUUAAAUAUUAAAUCAUUGAUUUAUGAAUUUAGAAUCUAAAUUAAUAAAUUUAAAUAAAAUUACCUUGGGGAUAACAGCGUAAUUUCUUUUUAGAGUUCUUAUCAAAUAAGAAGAUUGCGACCUCGAUGUUGGAUUAAAAUAUAGUUUAGGUGUAGAAGCUUGAAUAUUGAGUCUGUUCGAC
rnacentral:rRNA from 1 species